CCCCGGUAAACGGCGGCCGUAACUAUAACGGUCCUAAGGUAGCGAAAUUCCUUGUCGGGUAAGUUCCGACCUGCACGAAUGGCGUAAUGAUGGCCAGGCUGUCUCCACCCGAGACUCAGUGAAAUUGAACUCGCUGUGAAGAUGCAGUGUACCCGCGGCAAGACGGAAAGACCCCGUGAACCUUUACUAUAGCUUGACACUGAACAUUGAGCCUUGAUGUGUAGGAUAGGUGGGAGGCUUUGAAGUGUGGACGCCAGUCUGCAUGGAGCCGACCUUGAAAUACCACCCUUUAAUGUUUGAUGUUCUAACGUGGACCCGUAAUCCGGGUUGCGGACAGUGUCUGGUGGGUAGUUUGACUGGGGCGGUCUCCUCCUAAAGAGUAACGGAGGAGCACGAAGGUUGGCUAAUCCUGGUCGGACAUCAGGAGGUUAGUGCAAUGGCAUAAGCCAGCUUGACUGCGAGCGUGACGGCGCGAGCAGGUGCGAAAGCAGGUCAUAGUGAUCCGGUGGUUCUGAAUGGAAGGGCCAUCGCUCAACGGAUAAAAGGUACUCCGGGGAUAACAGGCUGAUACCGCCCAAGAGUUCAUAUCGACGGCGGUGUUUGGCACCUCGAUGUCGGCUCAUCACAUCCUGGGGCUGAAGUAGGUCCCAAGGGUAUGGCUGUUCGCCAUUUAAAGUGGUACGCGAGCUGGGUUUAGAACGUCGUGAGACAGUUCGGUCCCUAUCUGCCGUGGGCGCUGGAGAACUGAGG
rnacentral:rRNA from 1 species